CUGUCUCCACCCGAGACUCAGUGAAAUUGAAAUUGCCGUGAAGAUGCGGUGUACCCGUGGCAAGACGGAAAGACCCCGUGAACCUUUACUAUAGCUUGACAGUGAACAUUGAGCCUUAAUGUGUAGGAUAGGUGGGAGACAAAGAAGUGUGUACGCCAGUAUGCAUGGAGUCGACCUUGAAAUACCACCCUUUAAUGUUUGAUGUUCUAACCUAUACUUCUGAAUCGAGGUAAGGGACACUGUCUGGUGGGUAGUUUGACUGGGGCGGUCUCCUCCCAAAGAGUAACGGAGGAGCACGAAGGUUAGCUAAUCCUGGUCGGACAUCAGGAGGUUAGUGCAAUGGCAAAAGCUAGCUUGACUGCGAGAGUGACGGCUCGAGCAGGUACGAAAGUAGGUCAUAGUGAUCCGGUGGUUCUGAAUGGAAGGGCCAUCGCUCAACGGAUAAAAGGUACUCCGGGGAUAACAGGCUGAUACCGCCCAAGAGUUCAUAUCGACGGCGGUGUUUGGCACCUCGAUGUCGGCUCAUCACAUCCUGGGGCUGAAGUAGGUCCCAAGGGUACGGCUGUUCGCCGUUUAAAGUGGUACGCGAGCUGGGUUUAGAACGUCGUGAGACAGUUCGGUCCCUAUCUGCCAUGGGCGUAGGAAAAUUGAGAGGGUUUGCUUCUAGUACGAGAGGACCGAAGUGAACGCACCGCUGGUGUUCGGGUUGUGAUGCCAAUUGCAUUGCCCGGUAGCUACGUGCGGAAUAGAUAAGUGCUGAAAGCAUCUAAGUACGAAACUAGCCUUGAGAUGAGUUUUCCCUGAAGAGAUUCAGUAAGGUCCGUUUGAGACUAAGACGUAGAUAGGUCAGGUGUGUAAGUGUAGUGAUACAUUGAGCUAACUGAUACUAAUGAACCGAGAGUCUUAACCUUACAACUC
rnacentral:rRNA from 1 species